GACGAACGCUGGCGGCGUGCUUAACACAUGCAAGUCGAACGGAAAGGCCCUGCUUUUGUGGGGUGCUCGAGUGGCGAACGGGUGAGUAACACGUGAGUAACCUGCCCUUGACUUUGGGAUAACUUCAGGAAACUGGGGCUAAUACCGGAUAGGAGCUCCUGCUGCAUGGUGGGGGUUGGAAAGUUUCGGCGGUUGGGGAUGGACUCGCGGCUUAUCAGCUUGUUGGUGGGGUAGUGGCUUACCAAGGCUUUGACGGGUAGCCGGCCUGAGAGGGUGACCGGCCACAUGGGGGCUGAGAUACGGCGCAGACUACUACGGGAGGCAGCAGUGGGGAAUAUUGCACAAUGGGCGGAAGCAUGAUGAAGCAACGCCGCGUGGGGGAUGACGGACUUCGGGUUGUAAACCGCUUUCGCCUGUGACGAAGAGUGAGUGACGGUAAGGGGUAAAGAGGCACGGGCUAACUACG
rnacentral:rRNA from 1 species